rnacentral:rRNA from 1 species
AAAUUGAAGAGUUUGAUCAUGGCUCAGAUUGAACGCUGGCGGCAGGCCUAACACAUGCAAGUCGAACGGUAACAGGAAGAAGCUUGCUUCUUUGCUGACGAGUGGCGGACGGGUGAGUAAUGUCUGGGAAACUGCCUGAUGG